ensembl:lncRNA
AGGAAAGAAGAGGACUCUCAAGCCUCGGUAAAUGGCGAGGUAGCUGGGUUUGGGGAGAGGCGUUUAAACGUUCCGUCCACCUCAAGGGAAUCAGUCUUCCAGCUCUCUUGCUUCUGGAGGCCGCCGGUUCCGAGGCGUCGGGAGAAGGGUGCUCUCAGAGCCUGCGGGCUGGUGCUUCCCUCCUGACAGUCCCCGAGGUUGGAUAAGUACAGGUUCGAGGUGGAGGGUAGCUGAAGAAAAAGCUGAGAAUGAGAUCUUCCAGUAGACAGUAUAGAACGAAAAGAGAAGGCAGCCUGCUCUCUUCUUGAAACUCAUCUGUUGAACUCUGGGAGACUACCCCAUCCUAGUUCUGUACCUGCCUCCCUACUUCUGCAUUUCAACUGUUGCUGAUCCACAAGGAUUGGACCUUCCCCCCAACCCCUUGGAGAACUUAUCUGAUGACUCAGGGUACAGGUUGCUCUGGAGCUCCAGCCCUGGGAACCCUUCUCCAGAUUGUAGAGAGAAGGAGGCAGCACAGUGUAGUGGAAAGAUCAUGGCCCAGUGAAUCAGGCAGAUGUGCGCCUCAUCACCUGGGGGAAAAAACUCCAAUCUAAACAUCCUGGUCUUCAACUGUAAGAUGACUGCCGAGCUAUGAAGUUGUUCAGAGAAUUCAAAAGGUAAAAUGUGUGACAUGUCCAAAGAGUUUUUGUUUGACAGCAAGUAGAGUCUUAAAAUUUGUUCCCUCCCCUUUGCCAUUACCUACCCGUGAGCUGAUUCAGUGCUAACAACUCCAUCGGAUAUGCCUCGGAGAGUUCCUGUUUUCACCUAUGCAGUCACAGAGGCACAGAGAGGUUCCGUAACUGAUCUGAGGUCCCACAGCAGAUGGGGAGGGGUGCAGGGCAUAGUCUGGGAAGGAAGAUGACAUGAGGGAUGCUGCUUGGGUUGAGCGGGUGUCUGGCUCUGGGAAUGAACCCACUCAGGUGUAUAGGCCCCACCCCUGCUCCUUCCCCAGGACAGGUCUUCUCUGUCCUAACUGCUAAUUGCAGGGUGAAGGCCAGGAACUUCAUCUGGCAAACCUGGAGUUCGAGGCUGUCAGAAGAGAGGCACCACUCCCUUGUGCCUCUCAGGUGAGCCCUACCCAUCGUGCCAGGCUUCUUUUCAUCAGACAUGUUGAAGUAUCUGAUAUGUGUGCAAGGGGCAGCGUCAUUCUAGGUGCUGAGGAGAAGAAAGCACAAUACACGGAACUCUCACAUUUGUGGAGCUUUCAUUCCUGGCAGAGAAGAGGGCCCAAGCCCCCUUCAGUGAGGAAAAGCGGUGGAGUGACACACUGGGUUGAGUCCUCUGGAGACAAAACUCCAAUAGGAGAAGGGCCAUGGGAAGUGUGGUAAGGGAGUUUUGUGGGUAAAUUUACAGCUAGACCCAUCCCUGUGUUUUCUAGUACCCCCAAACCCGCUUUUUGGCAGAUGACCCAAAUAUUUCUUCCUCCUUCUCCCCAGAACCCUCAGUGUAUGACUCUCCACUGUAGUAAUCAUUUAUGAUCUUUUUCCCCUUGGAAAAUGGAAUGCAUAAAGCUGGAGGGAAGCUGAGGUCCCUUUCACCUCCUCACCUGCUUUCCUGGGCUAUCCCAUCCAUCUCUCAGAGACGUGCAGCCCCAGGCAGUCAGACCACAUGUGGGGGAUCGGUCUCUGAUCCUGGGGCCUCACUUUGUAAGGAUGGAGUGCCUCUGGAGGGAGCAGGAGGGCUAUGGUACCUUCAAGGGACCAGGAAACUCCCUCACAGAUGCUCAGCGACCCCAGCCUUGUUAGACCUGAGUGGACUUCCUGUGGAUGUGGACUUGCACAUGUCUUGUGUGCCGGACCAACAAAUAGAAAUACAACCAUGUGAAGAGGUACUCGGGAGAGAGACUGGACACCAACAAGAAUAUCUUAGGCCAGAUCUAACAAUGCAGGGGGGCCUCUGCCUGGCCUGAGCUCUAAGUAGGUGGAAACCCAGACAGGAUGUACUGUCUCUUGGAAAGGUUGUAGAGAGGACUCAAGUGGUUUGACCUGAAAUUUAUGAUUCUGUGAUUCUAAUGGGAUGCCUGAGGGCAGGUGAUGAGAAUAAAAAAAGCUGGAACCUCGUCCUUGGACCUUCUUGGGAAUGGGCCCCAGGAUGUUCCGGUUGUUUCUGCUGGGCGUAUUCACGGUGCUCUUCAUGAAUGAGGGAGACAGAGUCCUGACAUGGAAAUGUAUGGUGUAGUUCGUUUGCAAUUCUUGGAUAAAUAAUGCCACAAUGAGAGGGGACAUUUUUGAGUCUAUUACACAUUGUCUGUCUACUCCCCCUGACUGAUACCUCACUCUCCUCCCUCACUGUUCUAAUGUCUUCUUUUAGCCCCCAGUCUUGGGUGUGAAGGGGGUCCUUGGCUUCCUGAAGGGAGUCAUGAUUCCUGGUGGAAGCCAGGGAGGGUGUAGCAUCCUUCUUGUGAGUUUUGUGCCACCUGAGUGUAGAUGGUUACAGGUGGGGGCUGCUUCUACAGCAGAAUCCCUCUCCUGAGAGCUCUGCAUCUAAGUUUUCCUCUUUCUUUAGGGUUUCGAUUUUGCAAUGCAUGUGAUUUCUAUGAUGGAUUCACUUGCCUCAAGCCACAAAAAUCUUGCUCGAAAUUUAAUCUUUUCUUCCCGACGGCUUGUACCACAGACCACUUUUACUUUUAUCAUCGUCGUACAGG